rnacentral:rRNA from 3 species
AAAUUGAAGAGUUUGAUCAUGGCUCAGAUUGAACGCUGGCGGCAGGCCUAACACAUGCAAGUCGAACGGUAACAGGAAGCAGCUUGCUGCUUUGCUGACGAGUGGCGGACGGGUGAGUAAUGUCUGGGAAACUGCCUGAUGGAGGGGGAUAACUACUGGAAACGGUGGCUAAUACCGCAUAACGUCGCAAGACCAAAGAGGGGGACCUUCGGGCCUCUUGCCAUCAGAUGUGCCCAGAUGGGAUUAGCUUGUUGGUGAGGUAACGGCUCACCAAGGCGACGAUCCCUAGCUGGUCUGAGAGGAUGACCAGCCACACUGGAACUGAGACACGGUCCAGACUCCUACGG